rnacentral:rRNA from 1 species
UGUGAACAUACCUAAAACGUUGCUUCGGCGGGAACAGACGGCCCUGUAACAACGGGCCGCCCCCGCCAGAGGACCCCUAACUCUGUUUUUAUAAUGUUUUUCUGAGUAAACAAGCAAAUAAAUUAAAACUUUCAACAACGGAUCUCUUGGCUCUGGCAUCGAUGAAGAACGCAGCGAAAUGCGAUAAGUAAUGUGAAUUGCAGAAUUCAGUGAAUCAUCGAAUCUUUGAACGCACAUUGCGCCCGCCAGUAUUCUGGCGGGCAUGCCUGUUCGAGCGUCAUUACAACCCUCAGGCCCCCGGGCCUGGCGUUGGGGAUCGGCGGAAGCCCCCUGUGGGCACACGCCGUCCCUCAAAUACAGUGGCGGUCCCGCCGCAGCUUCCAUUGCGUAGUAGCUAACACCUCGCAACUGGAGAGCGGCGCGGCCAUGCCGUAAAACACCCAACUUCUGAAUGUUGACCUCGAAUCAGGUAGGAAUACCCGCUGAACUUAAGCAUAUCAA